ensembl:lncRNA
AUGGCGUUGGGAGAAAUAUGUUGCACUAUCGAUAUAAGCAAGACUAGGAGCUCUUCAAAAACAGCAGGCUUCCUGUUUUUUCUUUUAUUGCAAAUGAGUCUGCUCUCUAAAGUAUGGACAACUUCCACAACAGCUAGUCCAGCAACCACUCUGAAAACAGAUGCCAAAUCAUCUACAGUGUCAGACCCUGUUACCCAGAGUUUGACAACUCAGUCUACGUAUCCGAACACUGCUUCUAACAGUGCUACUGUCGCCUCAGCUGGUAUUACUAGUAUGGAGACAGCAAACAUAUCUUCUUCAGAAAAUUACACGGCGCUAUCCUGUCCAGCAUUUGCUUGCACAAAAGAUUGUUAUGACCAGUUCAUGAAUAUGACGGCGAAGCCCUGCCAAUCCAGUGAAUACUUCUGUAAGAUAAUGAAAGGCGAUGCAGGUUACUCUGUCAGCUGCAGUGCCUCAUGUGGCGUGCCCUGUGAGAACGGGACUCUCAGUAAUUGCUCUGUCAACUGUUGCAACACAACUAACUGCCUCAACAACAGUCUGCUUGCCAUGUUCAAUUCACUCAAUACCACAGCUACAACAAAACCGACUACUACAACCACAACCAUAAAGACCACAGUUCCAACCACCCCAGCAAGCAAUGGCAAGAAGUGUCAUAAUUUCAAGUGUAAUGGAGCAGCGUGUUACAAAGCCAAUGUCGCCAGUAAUGCUGCAUGUCCAGUUGGUCUGGACUACUGCAUGCUACAAAAGACAACAUCUGGCACCACAGAAAGCUGGCAGGCGGGUUGCAGUACAGAUUGCAGAAAGAUGACAGCUUGUUCAAGCACCAGUACUGCCUGUCACCUGGAGUGCUGCAAUGCCACUACCACCUCAUGCCUCAAACUGACAGGUGAAGUGAACAUGCCCAGCUCUGCCACCAGGAGUCCUCACUGUCCCGCACUGCUCAUGGCCUCUUUGCUGUUCUUCUGGAUAGUCAAAAUCUUAAAUUGA